CUGAAACCCAUCUCUUCUCUCAAAUCUAACCCUAAUCAAACGUCAUCGUCACUCAUCUAUGGCUAUCUAUGGUGGUUUUCUGCCACACCCAGUCCUCUUGUGGUCUCCCUCACGUUGGUAUUACCAUCCCCAGGGUCCUCAAGGUACCACAGUCAGCCGACUUACAUCUAUGGUCCCUUUCCAGCCUGUUUCAGACUAUUCCAGUGUGAUUCCGAGUAAGGUCGCCCUAUAUUAACUAUGACCUAUGCGUUUCUAACCAUGUUUCUUCACCUCUAUGUUGUUCUCUUCAAAACCCUAAUUUCUUUUUCUGAACCUCUUAGAUCUAUAAAAAUCUAAGAUGAUUUGGACUUGUUUCUUAUUUUGUUUUACAACAACCUUGAGAUUCUUUACGAGAAUCGUAUCAUUUUCCAGUGAUUUUCAUCUUUUUCUAAGCUAGAUUUUUCGGAAGUUUCUUUUACAAAAUGUUUGAUGAUUUCUGAGUGUUUGAUCUUAUGUUUUUCAAGCGUUUUGACUAAUUUUGUAAGUUUGCUACAACCUUAUCUCGCUUUUACUGAAAGUCCUAAUUUUUGACAUUCUUCGUUUAGUUUCUGAGUACUGGUGUACUGAUUGUGUUCUUGCUUUAGUUUUUGUGAUUUCUCAUGGUUUUUUCACCCUACUAUGCCUCUACUGAGAUUCUUAACUCAACUUUUCAAUGAUUCUAUAUGUUUGUGUUCAUCCUAACUAUUCAUUUCUUACCUUACCUUCUAAAUUUGCUGACUCUUUCAUGAUUUUCCCUCUAACUGAGCCCUAUUAGGGUUCUAACCUAAUUUUAUCGGACUAAGUUCUAUGUUUCUGUAAAUUUUACUUAGUAUAUUUUCUAUUUAUGGAAAUUGAUAUAUAUUCGUUCAAGAAAUCAACAUUACUUUAAAAUUUUGGCUAAUUGCUUACUCUGUUAAAGAUUGGUAUACAUAGACUUUAUUUGUUUCCUUAUUUAUAGCUUUAAUUGGCCGUCUCUGCCUUAAUUGCUUGCCCGUAUAAUUUUGGAAUUCUUACUGAUUCUUUAUUUGGUAUGGUUUGGUCUUUUUGCCUUAAUUAAACCCUUGUUGUUACUGUUUGGCUAAUUGCCGCUAAUUAAAUGAGUCUAUUCUGAACUCCUUAUAUGAUUGGAUUCUAAUUGCCCUUAAUUGCUAAUUUCUAAUUCUUUUACCUUAUUGACUCUACCCUCGAGCUUCUAUAUAAGCACUCUCUUAUUCUUACUUCAAAAUAGAAUAUUAGUUUACAAAAGCAUAUUUACACUGUAAAGCUAUCUUUUCUCUUAUACUAUUUGUGAUAUUCACUUAUCUAGCCGGCUGAAAGCCAAGGCUAGAUAUUGGAGCUUCAUCUGCUUUAUAUUCUGCACUCUUUUCUUCAACUGAUAUGUCUCUAGUUAAGUCUUGAAAUCCAAAUCCUAUAUGUUUUAUUUCUGCACUAGUUUAUCAGUUAUGGAUUCAACUUGUAUUCUUGCUUACUUCUUUGCUUAGAAUGUCUAAACUCUGUCCUAGUCAAUGUAUGCUUUAUAUUCUUUACUCUUUCCUACUUACUUCUUUGCCUAGAAUGUCUAAACUGUAUGUUUAAUCCUGUUCAAGACAUGUCAGGCUUCUUGUAUUACAACUAUGAUCUAGGUCUUAACUACUUGCUAUCUAUGAUUAGCCUGCUAAGUCUCUAAGACCCUAAGUGUUUUAUGUAGUUUGGUUGACUAUAAGUUCCCCCAUACCCUAUCAAUGUACCCCCCCAAUGUGACUCUUAUGUGCUCCAAUCCCUUUAUCCCCAUAUGAGAUCUGUUUGUUAAGUAUUUCCUAAAUCUGGAUGGUUUUACGACUAAUUGAAUAUGUUGUUUUGGUACUCUCCUCGAAUAUGCUUUUACCACCAAACUAUUUCUUGUUUCAGAAAACAUUUUCAACCAUCAAGUCAUCUCUGUGCUAUUUUCAAAAUCUUUUCAAAACUAUGUCAAGCACUCUUACUUCACUCUUAGAAUAUUAGGUUUUUCCCAUCUGAUAUAUGUACUGCCUUUAGAUCCUUGAGAUCUCUCUAAACUUUGGCAUGUUAGAUCUGGCCUUUCCAGACUACACCUACAAAAGUUCUUAUUCUAGAAAAGGUCUGAGUGUGAGCACUGCCCGAGAUCCUUGAGGUCCUUACGGAACUCUGACAAACCUAGACAUAGAAUUGGCUAUGAACUUUGAUGUUUGAGGCUACUUGAGGCUUAGAGAUCACUUGGGCCUACUUCAGGCUCCCUAUAAAUUAAUUUCUAUUUUAUUCAAUUCAUUAGUGUGUAAUAAUUAUUGUAAACAUACAAUGUAGUGAUUAGUGAAAUGGAAGGCUAGUUAUAUAUAUUGUGUAAAUCGGGUAGAUACCAUGCCUAUAGGAUGCAAAAAUAGAUUUAAUAAUAGAGAUCGUACCUAUAAGGUUAAAAUCAGCUAUAUAGAUACCAUGCUAAAGGGGUUUCAUAUUUGGUUAAAUAAAUGUUGUUUGCGUUACCUUAUGCUUAGUUAAAAAUCAUGCCUAUAGGACUUAAAUUAGUUCAGUUGAAUGAAUCAGUUCAAAUUUGUGUUUAUAUAUUCUGAAUCGACUUAAAUAUAUAAUAUGUUCGUUUUCUUUAAUAAGUUUUCAAAUACUGCCUUAAAUUAGUACCACUAGAAAAUAUGUCUAUAGGAUCUCAAGUUAUCCGUUUAAAAAUUGUUCAUUGUUUUUACUGCAUUCCUAAUCUAUAUAGAUAUCAUGCUCUUAAGAAGUCAGUGUUAUGUAUUUAGGCAAGCCUAUAUGGUGAUUAAAAUCCUGCAACUAUAAAACUGUGCUCUGUCGUUUAAGACUGCUCACAUUCAACAGGUCUAAAAUCAGUAAGUAAGUUGAACAGGUCUUUAACACUGUGUCUUAAUUCAUUGUUUUAUAAUUCAUGCUCACCUAGAUAUCAUGUUCUAAGUUUUAUUAAAUACCUGAAACAAUUGUUUGAGACAUGCAUUUAUUUGUUUUGCUUGUGCAGGUGAAAAUGUGAGCCUUUACUUAUUCCUCCUUUAAGUGCAUUCCUAAUUGUUUUGAUUGACGCCCACACUUUUCUCCUUUAAAUUCCUCAAGAUGGUCUAGAAGUACCUAAAACUAGAAGUCCUAAAUACCUCCAGGUCCACGAGGAAGGGACGGGUAGUGCACGCAUAGGAUAUUUAUCAAGGUUUUUAGAAUGCUUAGGCUAUGAUCAAUGGGAGGGAAUUGGGUAGUAAGGAUAUGAUUACUACGUGCUAAUGUCACGUGUAACCCCGUAUUGAGGAGUGAGUACUGGGCCUUGUGUGGGGUGAUCCUGUAGUCUAACCAACCUAGGACCCCUCUUUCCCAAUUCCCAUUGUUUAAAUUUUACUUUCUCUAUAUAUGUGCAACUUGUUCAAGUCUUUUCCAUUUUGUUUCAUUACUUGAGUCAUACAAUGUCAAAACAUGCCUUUAUUUGCAAGUGUGUGUUAAAACUAUUUGCUUGUUAAAAUGACUAAUUCACAUAAAUAUAAGUUUGACCGAGAUCCACCGUUGUGGACUGAGAAGGGUGACUAACACCUUCCCCUCAAGGUUAUUUUGAGCCCUUACCUUAUAUAUCUGGUAAUGCAAACUAGUCCAAGAGUUAAUUUCUCUAGGUGCCCUAAUGCACCAUAAUCCGUUAGGUGGCGACUCUUCAAAUACCCGAAUACGAAAAGCAAAUGAGUUAUUACCCCCAUGAACGUUGGAACCUGGACUUCUCUCUACGGAGGGAAAAAGGGAGCGCGGCAUCAUGGCAAACUCUGAUGGGGAUACAUUUAGGAUUAGUCCAAGCAUGCCUUAUCCUGUAUCCUUUCCCCUUAUAUGAAUUUAACUUUUUAUGUCUUUAAAAGCAUUUAUAAUUCUUUUAUUCCUAAAAAUAAUUUAUCUCCUUGUUUUCUUUUUCUAUAAUUGCCUUUCAAUUAUUUAAAUACUGAAUUUAUUAUUCUUACGUGCAAAUACUUGACUACAUUCUAUUUAUUACUGCAUAAAUCAUGCUUCACAUCAUAUUCCACUCGUGCAUAUUUAAUCCUAUUGCAACGCUUGAUGAGUGGUUGCGCUCUUCCUAUUUAUUACACUAAAAUUCGAAAAGGCUUAUUUGUGGUAAAACUAGUCGAUCAGCGGUACAGUCGACGGUUUUUGCUUUUCCAUACCAGUCUAGACCCUAUAGUAACUGUGACGGCCCGGUUGGUUGUCUUAAAUAUUUACACUCCGAUCCCCUAUUAACUGCUUUCCCUAAGUUCAUUUUUGCUAUUUUGGUUUGCCGGGAUGUUCGGGAGUUUUAGAGAGUUUUGGGACAGUUAGUCCUUAAAUGAGAGCUUAAGUGUUGAAAAGUGGUCCAUAAUCAGAUGAGUGUGAAGACAACCUCAAAAUGGAAAUCUGAUGGUUCUGUUAGCUUCGUUAGGUGAUUUAGGGGUUGAUAGGGUGAUAAGAAUGCAUUUUGGAAGUCUGUAGCUCAUUUAGGCUUGAAAUGCCGAAGUUGAGUUUUUGAAGUUUCCGGUCCUAUAGUGAGUUUUUGAUCCGAGGGUCAGAAUGGCAUUCCAGAAGUUGCAAUAGCACCGACAUGCCAUUUUGUAUGUGUGUGCAAAAUUUCAGGUCAUUCAGACGUAUUUUGGUUAGGUUUUUUUAUCGAAAGCGUGUUCUGAUGAAAUUUGAAAUUCUUAGGCUGAAAUCCUUGAUUAAUUCGAGUUUGCGGCGUUGUUUUAGGUGGUUUAAGGAUUGGUACAAGCAUGAAUGAUGUAUGAGGUGUUGUUGGUACUCUUGGUUAAGGUCCCGAGGGGGCCCAAGAUGAUUUCGGAUGGUGAUGGGAAGAUCAGAGAAGUGUUGCAGCAGCUGAAGCAUUGCUGUUUCUGGUAUUUUUGCAUAUGUGGCUCAAGACAGAUGCGGCGCCGCAGAAGCGGCUAAACGGUCGUAGACCUAAUUUUGGUAUUUAGCCUGAGGGGCAUUUUGGAUAUUUUACCUAAUUUCGCACAUUAGUUUUGAAUUUAAUCGUAAAAUCAGUUGCUUGAGAUGUUAUUUACGAUAUGUAAUUGAAUUGAAUAUUUGGGGCAUUUGGAGUCAGAUACCUGUGGAAAAAGUGUAGUUUCAAGUUAAAUUUGGUGCCAGUUUGAGGUAAGUGGCUUGUUUAACCUUGUGUGGGGGAGUCCUUCCCCUUAGGACAUGAUGUUUGGUAUUUGUAUUCCUCGUACGUGAGGUGACGAGCGCGUACUUGAGAAAAUUAUUGAAAAUCCAUUUUAACUUGAAUAUUUAAAUCGAUUUUUCUUGCUUACCUAUUUAUUUUAAAUUGCAAGUUUAUUCUAUGAUAGUUUAGAGAAGCAUGUUCUUUUGACUUACUUGCCUAAGUGCUUAAACUGUCUUGUUUGUGCUCAGUGUAGUAUGUUUGGCUAAGAUUUUCUAUUUCUUGUCCUGAGUUUAGUAUCUAUCCUAAUGUUUGGGUUGAUAUUGUGUGUUUUUAAAUUGGGACUACGGGUUGGCCUCCCGGACAGAGGGUGCAGGAUAGCCAGAGAUCCCUGACACAUGAAAUUGUAAGUUUUGAGGAUACCAAGAGAUCAUCGAGAUACCUAGAGAUCCCUGGCACAUGAAAUUGUAAGUUUUAAGGAUACCAAGAGAUCCUCGGGAUACCAAGAGAUCCUUGGCACAUGCAAUUGUAAGUUUUGAGGUUACCAAGAAAUCCUCGGAAUACCAAGAUAUCCUUGGCACAUAAAAUUGUAAGUUUUGAGGAUACAAGAGAUCUUCAAGGUACCAAGAGACCCCUCAUGUAUGGGUUGAGGAUACCAAGAGAUCCUCGGGAUACCAAGAGAUCCCCGGUUGUGGUUCCUGUUGUGAUCAGUAUUUACUAGUAUUGACCUGUUCUUCUGCUUUCUUUUACGAUUUCCAUUUUUAUCUUGUUUAGAUUCUCGCCGUACACUUUAUCUAUACUGUUUAUCCCCCAUCUUGUUAUUUAUUAUGUUAUAACUCAGUAGGGCCCCGACCUUUCCUCGUUACUACUUAACCGAGGUUAGUCUUGGCACUUAC
rnacentral:lncRNA from 1 species